GUGGGGAAUCUUCCGCAAUGGACGAAAGUCUGACGGAGCAACGCCGCGUGAGUGAAGAAGGUUUUCGGAUCGUAAAGCUCUUUCGUUAGGGACGAACGUGCUCUUUGUGAAUAAUGAGGAGUAAUGACGGUACCUAAAUAAGAAGCCACGGCUAACUACGUGCCAGCAGCCGCGGUAAUACGAAGGUGGCAAGCGUUGUCCGGAAUUAUUGGGCGUAAAGCGCGCGCAGGCGGGAUAUCAAGUCUGUCUUAAAAGUGCGAGGCUCAACCUCGUGAGGCGACAGAAACUGGUAUUCUUGAGUGUCGGAGAGGAAAGUGGAAUUCCAAGUGUAGCGGUGAAAUGCGUAGAGAUUUGGAAGAACACCAGUGGCGAAGGCGACUUUCUGGACGAUGUCUGACGCUGAGGCGCGAAAGCUAGGGGAGCGAACGGGAUUAGAAACCCGGGUAGUCC
rnacentral:rRNA from 1 species